rnacentral:rRNA from 1 species
AAACGACUCUCGGCAACGGAUAUCUCGGCUCUCGCAUCGAUGAAGAACGUAGCGAAAUGCGAUACUUGGUGUGAAUUGCAGAAUCCCGUGAACCAUCGAGUCUUUGAACGCAAGUUGCGCCCCAAGCCUUCGGGCCGAGGGCACGCCUGCCUGGGCGUCACGC